GACGGAGGGUGCAAGCGUUAUCCGGAUUUACUGGGUUUAAAGAGUACGUAGGCGGUCAAGUAAGUCAGUGGUGAAAUACAACAGCUUAACUGUUGAACGGCCAUUGAUACUGCUCGACUCGAGUAUAGUCGAGGUGGGUGGAAUUCUACAUUUAGCGGUGAAAUGCGUAGAUAUGUAGAGGAACACCGAUAACGAAGGUAACUCACUAGGCUAUUACUGACGCUGAGGUACGAAAGCGUGGGGAGCAAACAGG
rnacentral:rRNA from 1 species